rnacentral:tRNA from 1 species
GUUUUAAUAGUUUAAAAAAAAACUUUGGUCUUGUAAACCAAGAAUGAAUUAUAUCUUCUUAAAGCU